rnacentral:lncRNA from 1 species
ACAACUUUCAUUCAACUAGAAGGUGAUGAAACACCAUAUAAAUUACACACAGCUGCAGCAAGGGAAUUUGGAACUACUCCCAUCCACGUUUUAGUACCAACUACAUUAGAUAAUUUUGCUAAACCAUGAGCAACCGAAUUUAAGUGACGCCUAACAUGUGUCACAACUACGCUAUCUAAUUGUUCAAUGAGUAAUUUACAAUCUUGGAUAACAAUUUCUAUCAUAGCUAUAGACUGGUUUGAGUUGAUACAAUUUACCACAGUGGCAACAUCAGAAACAAUCACAAUAUCUUUCAUGUUAGCUUCAAUAGCUUUUUGGAGGCACCAUCUCACACCAUGUGCCUCAGCCAACACAGGUUCAACAUCAAUAAAUUCCUUUCUACAAGCAGAUAGAACAACAUUGUAACACCCCGUUUUUCAAAG